rnacentral:rRNA from 1 species
UACGGAGGGGACUAGCGUUGUUCGGAAUUACUGGGCGUAAAGCGCACGUAGGCGGACUCUUAAGUCGGUGGUGAAAUCCUGGAGCUCAACUCCAGAACUGCCUUCGAUACUGGGAGUCUCGAGUCCGAGAGAGGUGAGUGGAACUGCGAGUGUAGAGGUGAAAUUCGUAGAUAUUCGCAAGAACACCAGUGGCGAAGGCGGCUCACUGGCUCGGUACUGACGCUGAGGUGCGAAAGCGUGGGGAGCAAACAGG